GAUGAACGCUGGCGGCGUGCCUAAUACAUGCAAGUCGAGCGAACAGAUGAGGAGCUUGCUCCUCUGACGUUAGCGGCGGACGGGUGAGUAACACGUGGAUAACCUACCUAUAAGACUGGGAUAACUUCGGGAAACCGGAGCUAAUACCGGAUAAUAUAUUGAACCGCAUGGUUCAAUAGUGAAAGACGGUUUUGCUGGCACUUAUAGAUGGAUCCGCGCCGCAUUAGCUAGUUGGUAAGGUAACGGCUUACCAAGGCAACGAUGCGUAGCCGACCUGAGAGGGUGAUCGGCCACACGGGAACUGAGACACGGUCCAGACUCCUACGGGAGGCAGCAGUAGGGAAUCUUCCGCAAUGGGCGAAAGCCUGACGGAGCAACGCCGCGUGAGUGAUGAAGGUCUUCGGAUCGUAAAACUCUGUUAUGAGGGAAGAACAAAUGUGUAAGUAACUAUGCACGUCUUGACGGUACCUAAUCAGAAAGCCACGGCUAACUACGUG
rnacentral:rRNA from 1 species